rnacentral:rRNA from 1 species
GACGAACGCUGGCGGCGUGCUUAACACAUGCAAGUCGAACGAAGAGCGAUGGAAGCUUGCUUCUAUCAAUCUUAGUGGCGAACGGGUGAGUAACGCGUAAUCAACCUGCCCUUCAGAGGGGGACAACAGUUGGAAACGACUGCUAAUACCGCAUACGAUCUAAUCUCGGCAUCGAGGAAAGAUGAAAGGUGGCCUCUAUUUAUAAGCUAUCACUGAAGGAGGGGAUUGCGUCUGAUUAGCUAGUUGGAGGGGUAACGGCCCACCAAGGCGAUGAUCAGUAGCCGGUCUGAGAGGAGGAACGGCCACAUUGGGACUGAGACACGGCCCAGACUCCUACGGGAGGCAGCAGUGGGGAAUCUUCCGCAAUGGACGAAAGUCUGACGGAGCAACGCCGCGUGAGUGAUGACGGCCUUCGGGUUGUAAAGCUCUGUUAAUCGGGACGAAAGGCCUUCUUGCGAACAGUUAGAAGGAUUGACGGUACCGGAAUAGAAAGCCACGGCUAACUACGUG